UACAGAGACUGCAAGUGUUAUUCGGAUUCAUUGGGCGUAAAGGGCGCGUAGGCGGCGGGGUAAGUCUGGUGUGAAAUCUCGGAGCUCAACUCCGAAACUGCACUGGAUACUGCUCUGCUAGAGGGCUGGAGAGGAGAUCGGAAUUCACGGUGUAGCAGUGAAAUGCGUAGAUAUCGUGAGGAAGACCAGUGGCGAAGGCGGAUCUCUGGACAGCUCCUGACGCUGAGGCGCGAAGGCUAGGGGAGCAAACGGG
rnacentral:rRNA from 1 species